rnacentral:tRNA from 1 species
GCCUGGGUGGCUCAGUGGGUUGAGCGUCUGACUUCGGCUCAGGUCAUGAUCUCAUGGUUCGUGAUUUCGAGCCCUGUCUCUGGCU